GGCAGCCAUGGUUAGUUAGAGUGUUAAACCGUCGGAUUCUCCGAUUGAGUUCUGUGUUAAUCCUUUUUGUUUUUAUGUAGGUGAAGUAUUCGAAUGAACCAGAGAACCCAACCAAAUCUUGCAAAGCUAGGGGUUCGGAUCUCAGAGCUCAUUUCAAGAAUACUAGAGAAACAGCGCAUGCCCUUAGGAAGAUGCCUUUGAACAAGGCAAAGAGCUAUUUGGAGGAUGUUCUUGCCCACAAACAAGCCAUCCCCUUCACCCGCUUUUGU
rnacentral:misc_RNA from 1 species